rnacentral:rRNA from 1 species
AUGGUGUUCAUUGACUUGGAGAAGGCCUAUGAUAAGAUGCCGCGGAAUGUCAUGUGGUGGGCCUUGGAGAAACACAAAGUCCCAGCAAAGUACAUUACGCUCAUCAAGGACAUGUACAAUAAUGUUGUGACAAGUGUUCGAACAACUGAUGUCGACACCGAUGACUUCCCGAUUAAGAUAGGACUGCAUCAGGGGUCAGCUUUGAGCCCUUAUCUUUUUGCAUUGGUGAUGGAUGAGGUCACAAGGGGUAUACAAGGAGAUAUCCCAUGGUGUAUGCUCUUUGCGGAUGAUGUGGUGCUAGUUGACGAUAGUCGAACAGGGGUAAAUAGGAAGUUAUAG